rnacentral:rRNA from 1 species
GACGAACGCUGGCGGCGUGCCUAAUACAUGCAAGUCGAACGAGCGGCGGACGGGUGAGUAAUGUAUGGGGACUGCCCGAUAGAGGGGGAUAACUACUGGAACCGGUGGCUAAUACCGCAUACUAUCGGAUAACCCAUAUGUGAUUAGCUCGUAGGUGGGGUAAAGGCUCACCUAGGCGACGAUCUCUAUCUGGUCUGAGAGGAUGAUCAGCCACACGGGGACUGAGACACGGCCCAGACUCCUACGGAGGCAGCAGUGGGGAAUAGUGCACAAUGGGCGCAAGCCUGAUGCAGCCAUGCGGCGUGUAUGAAGAAGGCCUUAGGGUUGUAAAGUACUUUCAGCGGGGAGGCGUUACCCACAGAAGAAGCACCGGCUAACUCCGUGCCAGCAGCCGCGGUAAUAC